CCUGCUUCCUGUUUCGUGCAUCGCUGCCGGCAGCUUCGAGUAUACUACGAUCCAUCGAGCAACCUUGGUUACCACAGCGAGCAGGAUGCAGUUCAUGGCCUGACCUGAUGGUAGAGUGGAGAAUGGGAAGUGGGGACCUGACAAGAGCUGAGAUGAUAGAGCUGGAUAAAGAAGGACGCGGUCUCUUGACAUGUCUUCACCACAAAACUUCAAAUGUUAUUAGAUUAUUAAUGAUAAUCUUAAACUACAAUUAAUCUGUUAUAUUUGACCUGUGC